AUGCCUUCUUUUCUUGCACCAUAUCGAGGAGUUCGGUAUCACCUGAGUGAAUUUAGGAGGCGGCGCUCAUCUAAUACGGGCUAUGCCAACCAUAGGGAGCCGUUCAACCAUACCCAUGCAAUCCUCCGGAACCACAUCGAAAGGAUCAUUGGUGUUCUGAAAAAACGUUUCCCUAUCUUGAAAGUGGGCAAUCACUACCCAAUAGAGUCACAAAUCAAGAUUCUGGCGGCAUGUGCUGUAUUCCAUAACAUCAUUAGAGCUCAAAGUGGUGAUGAGGCAUGGUUGGAUCACCAACCACCGUUAAUUCCACCAGAAAAAUAUGUUGAUGUUCCAUAG
rnacentral:rRNA from 1 species